rnacentral:lncRNA from 1 species
GCCGCCUCUUCCCACUGGGCGCUGUGCACGCCCUCACCACCAAGGUGCACUUCGAAUGCACGGGCUGGCAUGACGCGGAGGAUGCUGGCGCCCCGCUGGUGUACGCCCUGCUGCUGCAGCGCUGUCGCCAGGGCCACUGCGAGGAGUUCUGUGUCUACAAGGGCAGCCUCUCCGGCUACGGAGCCGUGCUGCCCCCGGGUUUCAGGCCACACUUCGAGGUGGGCCUGGCCGUGGUGGUGCAGGACCAGCUGGGAGCCGCUGUGGUCGCCCUCAACAGGUCUCUGGCCAUCACCCUCCCAGAGCCCAACGGCAGCGCAAUGGGGCUCACAGUCUGGCUGCACGGGCUCACCGCUAGUGUGCUCCCGGGGCUGCUGCGGCAGGCCGAUCCCCAGCACGUCAUCGAGUACUCGCUGGCCCUGGUCACCGUCCUGAACGAGCCCCCGCCCAGGAGGGCCCAUGUGCUUACCCUGUUUUGCCCAUGAAGAAACAGCUCAGUGUUGCGGGUCAAUGCCCACAUCACACAGCAUCUAGCACGUAACUGCACCCCGGGAGUCGUGGGCAUCUGCUGGCCUCCUGCCGGUCUCCUGCCCUGCUGACAGCUUGCUGUGCCGCCUGCCUGCCCCAGUACGAGCGGGCCCUGGACGUGGCGGCAGAGC